UUACGGCCAUAUCUUAUUGAAACACCAGUUCUCGUACGAUCAUCGAAGUUAAGCAACGUUGAGUCUGGCCAGUAGCUAGAUGGGUGACCGCUUGGGAAUACCAGGUGCUGCAAA